rnacentral:tRNA from 1 species
GCAUGGCUGGCUCAUUUGGUAGAGUAUGAGACUCUUAAUUUCGGGGUCAUGAGUUCAAGCCCAUGUGAGGCA